rnacentral:sRNA from 1 species
UUUUACUGGUCGUCGUCGCGCAAGCUGA